GCCCAAUGGUGGGAAAGACGGGGAAACGGAGACGCGUCCUCGCGGACUGCGCGUUGGAGGGCCGUGGACAGUUAUCCACGAGGUUGCCUGCGGCGGGGCACACUUGGGAACACAAAGCGAGGCUAAGCCACCCCCUAAACAGCCCCGUUGAGUAGAGAGUUUCCUAUUUCUACUGGAGAAAGAGUCUCAUGUAACCCAAGCCUCAUGUAACUCCUGGUUCUCCUCUCUCAGCCUCCUGCGUGCUAGAAUCGCGGGUGUGUGCCACCCCACGUCCCCUCCAUUUCUCUCUCUCUUUCUCCUUUUUCAGAGGUGGUCUCACGUAGUCUAGGCUACCCUCAAAUUCACUGUGUAGCCAGGACAGCCUUAUUCAUGAUCCUCCUACCUCCACUUCAGAAUUGGGAUGACAGAUACACACCACCAUGCAGUGCUGGGAUGGAACCUGGGGCCUGGAGCAUGCCAAGUGUGAGCCCUCAGACCAGACACAGCCCUCCCCCUCGCCCUCAGCUUUGAACUCACAGCAACCCUCCUGCUGUAGACUCCAAAGGGCACCAGGUCCCACCCUGUCCCCUGUAGAUAACGAGGGAGGACGGUACAGAUUGAUUCACGUGAAGAUUGGUUUGAGGGGUGUGGCAAGAGGGCUCAGUGAGUAACGUGAUUGCCCUGCAAACACCCGCAAAGAGCUCCAUGCAGACCCCAGCACCGCGGAAGCAGGUACACUUGGAUGCUUCUGUAACCCCUGGGGCCAAGUCAGAACGGUCAAGUGCCCCCAAAACAAGAUGGAGACAGGCAUGGUGGCCACACCCUCAACCCCAACCCUUGGAGGCAGAGGCCAGCCUGGUCGAGUAAGCAAGUUUCAGGUCAGACACUUCUGUAUGACCUCAGAGGUUCCUGCACAUAGAAAAGAAGCCAGGGGUCUUGAAAGGCCUGGCCAAGAAAGUAAAGGCCCCACAGUUUGCCCCAGGCCUCUAAGCCCAGCACUGCCGGCCCUUUGUCCCUUUGUCCUCCUAGCGAGAACUAGCUUGUGACUCCUCAGGCCAGCUGCUUGUCCACCCCACCCCCAGGAUUCUAAUCCCUAAACCAGCCCUUUGUCUUCCCUGGCUUGGCCACCUGCACUUAGGUGAAGAGACUCCAAGAUCCCCCUUGGUCUGAGGGCCUCUCCCAUCUCCAUCUCAGGAAGGCAGCUGUUUCCUCCCAGCCUCCAUUCCCCAGCACUUCCAGCCCCCUGAGGUUUGUCACGAGGUACCUAGAGGCUCAGAUUGCCCACGCCCUCACAGGGUAGCUGUGAGGCUCCAGCUUCCUUCAGUCAGAGAAAAAGGCAGAACUGUGGAGACCUAGCACUGGAGCUGAAGGCGGCCACUCCGAGCCCCGCCCCGGGCUCUGGGAGGGACUUGCAGAUGGAAUAUCUGCUUCUCCCAAAGAACCCCCACUUCACCCUAAUUUCUUUCACCAAUUGGGAAAUGAAGUCCUGGGGUCCAAAGGCAACCACAAGAAGCCACUUAGAAGACCCUGAGAAGCCACUAGCUCCAGGACCAGGACUGAGGCUAACCUGAGCUCCCGAGAGCUUUCCAACUCCUGUUUCCUGGCACUACAAAGGCAGCUGCACAUCUGCCAGCAGAAGAGACCUGCGAAUUAGAAGUUGGCCUUGUAUGCUGGGCGGUGGUGGCGCACACCUUUAAUUUCAGCACUCGGGAGGCAGAGGCAGGUGGAUCUCUAAGCACUGGGAUAGCAACUUGGUCUGGGAACCCCAGCAGCUGCACGUGCAAAGAGGGGACCAGAGAUUUAAGCCAGGGCCAGAGCCCAGCAGUCUGCAAACCUGCCC